UACGGAGGGUGCAAGCGUUAUCCGGAUUCACUGGGUUUAAAGGGUGCGUAGGUGGGUCUGUAAGUCAGUGGUGAAAUCUUCGAGCUUAACUCGGAAACUGCCAUUGAUACUAUAGAUCUUGAAUUUUCUGGAGGUAAGCGGAAUAUGUCAUGUAGCGGUGAAAUGCUUAGAUAUGACAUAGAACACCAAUUGCGAAGGCAGCUGGCUACACGAAUAUUGACACUGAUGCACGAAAGCGUGGGGAUCAAACAGG
rnacentral:rRNA from 1 species